CCCCACCAGGCUGGAACUGGGAUCUUGUUCUUCCACAAAAGAGAGCAGCCACUGAUUGUCCUCAGCUCCGACCCCAGCCCUGGGGGCCAGAAGGCUGGGACCCAAUGCAGUGACCCCCCGCCCUUGGCCACUGGGACCCCACCUUGAAGGAGAACUCGAGUUUGACGAGGAACGGAAAGUUGACAGCUUGCAGGAUGCGCUUUUCAUUCAGGGAAAAAUUUACCAUCAGAGUUGAGAACUGUUGUAAGCAUACAAUAGACACUGGAUUUUAAAGAUACUUCAGUACAGAAAAAAAGGAAAUAUUUCCGAAGUCAUGGAGGACUGGGAAAAAAACAAAAGGAAUGUAAAAUGUUUCAUUAAUGAUAUUUUCACAUUGAUAAUAUAUGGAAAGGGUAAUACUGUAGAUAUACUGGCUUAAUUAAAACAUAUCAUUAGGCCAGGUGUGGUGGCUCACAUCUGUAAUCCCAGCACUUUGGAAGGCUGAGGCGGGCGGAUUACCUGAGGUCAGGAGUUCGAGACCAACCUGACCAACAUGGUGAAACCCCAAGUCUACUAAAAAUACAAAAGUUAGCUGGGCGUGGUGGUGGC
rnacentral:lncRNA from 1 species